CGACAAGCCCCCCCGUUGAUUGACCUUCCAGAGCAAGCCCCAGAAUCUGGGAUUUCCCUCCAAUUUCAAACCCCAGGAUAUGGGAUUUCCCUCGUGGAAUUGGAAAUGGAAGAGAUCGAAGCAGAUCAGUCGUCGAGAUAAUCUCAGGCUUGCAUUGCACGACAAGCUUUGCGACGCUCUCCGUUCCAUCAUGUCCUUCGCUUAAUCUGACGUCGUUUUCUUCAACAAGCCAUUUCGCUGCAAUUUCAAAGGUCCGGAGCACGACAAAUGCAGCCGGAUCGGGUUCGAGUGUCUCGAUCGCGAUCAUAGCCCGAGCUCUUCCAUCAUUGAUGAAGUUCAGAGACUGAACAGAAGGUUGAAGGAUGCAACCAUGGGCUUCCUGUUUGUUCUUACUUUGGUCACAUAUCCUGAAGUCUGCAGAUUGCUCAAAUGUAGCAGUGGGCAUAAAGAGACGGUGAUUGCACGCAUAGAGCCAGCCAUUUUUGCAAUGGGAUUGGCUGAGCAUCAUUAUCCUGAACCUGGUAAGAACUUUGAAUCUCAUUAAAGUAAGAAGAUCAAGUGAUCUCAUAAAAGUUCCUCUUUCUAGUUCAAUUUCACCAGAAAUCCCUUCAAACUCGAUCAUGAUAGUAGUGUUAAAUUUACUAUUCUAUCCAUCAAUGCUAAUUCCAAUAGAAAAAAAGACUUAGACCUGUAAAUGGAGUAAAAUAAUGAUUUUGGACUGUUUUAAGAUUAGAUUGCAGGAUUGGACCAAAUUAAAAGUCUAUUCUGUUGAUUUUCAAUGCUAGUAUAAACAUAGAUGAUUAGGUUGGCGUUGUAAUUAUGAUGUCAUUAUAAAGAACUUCACCGACUUAUAUCAAUUGGAAAAACAAAAUGCUGCAUUUUCUACCAAUUUUAUGCUAGUAUAAAUGUAGAUGAUUGGAUUCUUUUUGGUUGCCUCUAGCUAGGUUAUUGCUUUUAUCUGCUAAUCCCAUGUUUCGAUGCCCACUCCACGCAAAAACUCUCUUUCCUGCUUAGGAUCGAUUGACGUAGUUUUCAGUUUCUAUUUUUAAUUUUUUGGCGGUGAGAGGACGAAAAUGAAUGAAAACAAAAGAAAAGCGUGAAAAUCCUUUUU